CCUGAUGCGCCAUGCCGCGUGUGUGAAGAAGGCCUUCGGGUUGUAAAGCACUUUCAGUCGUGAGGAAGGUGGUGUAGUUAAUAGCUGCAUUACUUGACGUUAGCGACAGAAGAAGCACCGGCUAACUCCGUGCCAGCAGCCGCGGUAAUACGGAGGGUGCGAGCGUUAAUCGGAAUUACUGGGCGUAAAGCGCAUGCAGGUGGUUUGUUAAGUCAGAUGUGAAAGCCCGGGGCUCAACCUCGGAAUAGCAUUUGAAACUGGCAGACUAGAGUACUGUAGAGGGGGGUAGAAUUUCAGGUGUAGCGGUGAAAUGCGUAGAGAUCUGAAGGAAUACCGGUGGCGAAGGCGGCCCCCUGGACAGAUACUGACACUCAGAUGCGAAAGCGUGGGGAGCAAACAGGAUUAGAUACCCUGGUAGUCCACGCCGUAAACGAUGUCUACUUGGAGGUUGUGGCCUUGAGCCGUGGCUUUCGGAGCUAACGCGUUAAGUAGACCGCCUGGGGAGUACGGUCGCAAGAUUAAAACUCAAAUGAAUUGACGGGGGCCCGCACAAGCGGUGGAGCAUGUGGUUUAAUUCGAUGCAACGCGAAGAACCUUACCUACUCUUGACAUCCAGAGAACUUUCCAGAGAUGGAUUGGUGCCUUCGGGAACUCUGAGACAGGUGCUGCAUGGCUGUCGUCAGCUCGUGUUGUGAAAUGUUGGGUUAAGUCCCGCAACGAGCGCAACCCUUAUCCUUGUUUGCCAGCGAGUAAUGUCGGGAACUCCAGGGAGACUGCCGGUGAUAAACCGGAGGAAGGUGGGGACGACGUCAAGUCAUCAUGGCCCUUACGAGUAGGGCUACACACGUGCUACAAUGGCGCAUACAGAGGGCAGCAAGCUAGCGAUAGUGAGCGAAUCCCAAAAAGUGCGUCGUAAUCCGGAUUGGAGUCUGCAACUCGACUCCAUGAAGUCGGAAUCGCUAGUAAUCGUGGAUCAGAAUGCCACGGUGAAAACGUUCCCGGGGCCUUGGACACACCGCCCGUCCCACCAUGGGAGUGGCUGCAAAAGAAGUAGGUAGUUUAACCUUCCGGAGGACGCUUACCCUU
rnacentral:rRNA from 1 species